CAGUCGCCACGGGAAUACGGAGGGUGCAAGCGUUAAUCGGAAUUACUGGGCGUAAAGCGCACGCAGGCGGUCUGACAAGUCAGAUGUGAAAUCCCCGGGCUUAACCUGGGAACUGCAUUUGAAACUGUCAGGCUGGAGUCUUGUAGAGGGGGGUAGAAUUCCAGGUGUAGCGGUGAAAUGCGUAGAGAUCUGGAGGAAUACCGGUGGCGAAGGCGGCCCCCUGGACAAAGACUGACGCUCAGGUGCGAAAGCGUGGGGAGCAAACAGGAUUAGAUACCCCGGUAGUCCCUGUCUCUUAUAA
rnacentral:rRNA from 1 species